UGCUUGCACCUUUCAAGUGAGUGGCGAACGGGUGAGUAACACGUGGACAACCUGCCUCAAGGCUGGGGAUAACAUUUGGAAACAGAUGCUAAUACCGAAUAAAACUUAGUGUCGCAUGACACAAAGUUAAAAGGCGCUUCGGCGUCACCUAGAGAUGGAUCCGCGGUGCAUUAGUUAGUUGGUGGGGUAAAGGCCUACCAAGACAAUGAUGCAUAGCCGAGUUGAGAGACUGAUCGGCCACAUUGGGACUGAGACACGGCCCAAACUCCUACGGGAGGCUGCAGUAGGGAAUCUUCCACAAUGGGCGAAAGCCUGAUGGAGCAACGCCGCGUGUGUGAUGAAGGCUUUCGGGUCGUAAAGCACUGUUGUAUGGGAAGAACAGCUAGAAUAGGAAAUGAUUUUAGUUUGACGGUACCAUACCAGAAAGGGACGGCUAAAUACGUGCCAGCAGCCGCGGUAAUACGUAUGUCCCGAGCGUUAUCCGGAUUUAUUGGGCGUAAAGCGAGCGCAGACGGUUUAUUAAGUCUGAUGUGAAAGCCCGGAGCUCAACUCCGGAAUGGCAUUGGAAACUGGUUAACUUGAGUGCAGUAGAGGUAAGUGGAACUCCAUGUGUAGCGGUGGAAUGCGUAGAUAUAUGGAAGAACACCAGUGGCGAAGGCGGCUUACUGGACUGCAACUGACGUUGAGGCUCGAAAGUGUGGGUAGC
rnacentral:rRNA from 1 species